GAGUUUGAUCGUGCUCAGGAUGAACGCUGGCGGCGUGCCUAAUACAUGCAAGUCGAACGGUAUCGGGAAACCGGUAUAGUGGCGAACGGGUGAGUAACGCGUUGGUGACCUGCCCCGAAGUGUGGGAUAACAGUUCGAAAGGACUGCUAAUACCGCAUGUGGAUAUGGGAUUUAGAAACUCAUAUCGAAAGGAAUAUUUCGCUUCGGGAGGGGCCUGCGUCCCAUCAGCUAGUUGGUAGGUAACGCCUACCAAGGCGAUGACGGGUAGGGACCUGAGAGGGUGGCCCCCCACAAUGGAACUGAAACACGGUCCAUACACCUACGGGUGGCAGCAGUAGGGAAUAUUGCAAAAUGGGACGAAAGCCUG
rnacentral:rRNA from 1 species